UCGCGAGAGGAGGAGAUAUGAAUUAGGAACGAGGGUAGAUCUGUCUUCUUGCCUUCCCUUUAUUUUUUAAAAAAUAAUUAAUUUCCUCGAGCGAAGAAGAGAAGACAAAGAGAGAAGCUGGCCGCUGGGCUCGCAGAUCGGAACCGACAACACUCGCGACUAAACAAUCAAUCAGAUCUGAGCUUCGGUUGGGUUUUAGGGUUCCAAUCACUCCUCACCUCGCGGCGCGCAUCUCAGUAUGAACAGGAGGAGAGGGUUGGAUUUCCGGAGGGCGGGAGGGCGGAGGAAGAUCUCGAACGUGGUCUGGUGGGUGCUCUCCGCGAUUGUAAUCACCCUCUUCAUCCUCAUUCUCUCCAAAGCUACUCAAAUCGAACCAAGAGCCUCCAUUCCCGAGGUGGUUAUACAUCUCUCUCUCCCCUUCUUCUUCUUACUUAAAGUUUAAUUUUAGAACCUUUCUUUCUUGUUACCAACCAGCGGCGUUACCGUCACGAAAAGCUUGUAGAAGGCAUGAACAUGACCGAAGAGAUGCUGAGCCCUACCUCCUUCGCUCGCCAAGUUAACGACCAGAUUGCUUUAGCUAAAGCCUUUGUCGUCAUCGCCAAAGAAAGUAAAAACCUUCAGUUCGCUUGGGACCUCAGCGCUCAGAUCCGCAACUCUCAGCUGCUUCUCUCCACUGCUGCUGCUUCCAGACGCCCCUUGACGGUUCUCGACUCUGAGCCCACUAUCCGCGACAUGGCUGUCUUGCUUUUCCAAGCUCAGCAGCUUCACUACGCAAUUUCCUUUGUUCAAUCAAAUCGUUAUUUACUGUAAUAUUUGUUUGACAAUAUUACCUUGUAUAAGAAAGAUUUGAUAUAUUGGAAGUAUAGUUCUUUGAGUGCAUAUCAAGUUAAUGUACCAACGUGAAUAUAUUGAAUUAAAUGCUCUGAAGAGGAACAUUAUAGAAAUAAGCUCCUAACAAAUAUUCCCUUUGACUUUUACAGGAAAACGUGUCGGCAAAGUAAAUCGAACUACAUCCAAUUCCGGUUUUUCUUCGAGGUAUGUUAACAAUCUUUUUCGGUUAAGCUAUCCAGUGGUUAACGAUUUUUUAGAGUUUAAAAAAUUAAAAACUAUCGUACAUGACAUAUAACUUUGGUUUAAAAGUAAUAUCCCCUUUUAAAAAAAAAACAAACAUGGGAUACAAUUUCAAUAUAAUCCACUUUUUGCAUUUAAAUCAGUGUACAUAUUAUGAAAUAUACAUAUAAUUUUAAACAUAUAAUUUUUUGCAUUUAAAUCAGUGCCAUCAUGUAACAUGUGUAUGUUACGUUAUAACCUAAGUUUAGUAGAACUUGAGAAAAACAAAUAAAAAACUUGCGAAAACUUUAUUAAUUAUACAUGAACAAAUAAAUAUUUGCUACAAAAGUUUGUUGAGCAUCGAUGGUUUUAUUGAUCGUACAUCACUUGAACUAAGAUCAAGUUUUGAUCCAUGUGUUACACUUUCUGAUAAACAUAUAUAAACAUUUUUUGAAUUUCGAAUGUUCAAUGACAGGCUCAAUUUUAAGUUUAGGAUGUUAAAUUAUAAUGUUCAUUGAUCUUGCCCCAUUUCAUAUGUUCAUUCAGUUUUUUCGUAUAGUUGUAACGGACACCACCUGUCAAAAAGUUUAAAAAGAAAUAAGAGUUAUUAGUGUAACUGGUUUAAAGGAGAAUCAGAUUCAUUGAUGGGGGCGUAACUUUCGUAACCAUUCAUUAUAUGUAUAUUAAUAUAGAAUAACUUGUCGGUAGUUUAAAUAUAGGUUGGUCCAUGCGACCAAAAAAUGUAAUGUAAUCUCUAAUAAAAAAAAAUAUAUUUAAUGUGUAUUCCGAGGAACACUGUCAGGCUGACACGUCAGCUUUGUACUUUAAGUUACAACUUAAAAAAUGUUUUCCAAUUAAUAGAAAGGGGAUCAUACUAUUUCGCUUAAUCAUGUUCUCUAGUAUGUUAUUCAUUUGAAAUUUCAAAUUUUGCGAAAGUUAUAUCAAAAUAUCUCUAAUGAAAUAUUUAUAUAAUUUCUGAUAAAUACAAAUCAGAAGACCAGAGUGAUCACACAAUUUAAUAGCCAAGAAAAGCCGUGGCUUUGAAGCUCAAAUACCACUACUAUCUAUCGGAUUUUAAUUAAAGUCGGUAGAAUCCACGGACCAUUUGCUGCAAACCGACAACUGGUGUCGCGAGAGGAGGAGAUAUGAAUUAGGAACGAGGGUAGAUCUGUCUUCUUGCCUUCCCUUUAUUUUUUAAAAAAUAAUUAAUUUCCUCGAGCGAAGAAGAGAAGACAAAGAGAGAAGCUGGCCGCUGGGCUCGCAGAUCGGAACCGACAACACUCGCGACUAAACAAUCAAUCAGAUCUGAGCUUCGGUUGGGUUUUAGGGUUCCAAUCACUCCUCACCUCGCGGCGCGCAUCUCAGUAUGAACAGGAGGAGAGGGUUGGAUUUCCGGAGGGCGGGAGGGCGGAGGAAGAUCUCGAACGUGGUCUGGUGGGUGCUCUCCGCGAUUGUAAUCACCCUCUUCAUCCUCAUUCUCUCCAAAGCUACUCAAAUCGAACCAAGAGCCUCCAUUCCCGAGGUGGUUAUACAUCUCUCUCUCCCCUUCUUCUUCUUACUUAAAGUUUAAUUUUAGAACCUUUCUUUCUUGUUACCAACCAGCGGCGUUACCGUCACGAAAAGCUUGUAGAAGGCAUGAACAUGACCGAAGAGAUGCUGAGCCCUACCUCCUUCGCUCGCCAAGUUAACGACCAGAUUGCUUUAGCUAAAGCCUUUGUCGUCAUCGCCAAAGAAAGUAAAAACCUUCAGUUCGCUUGGGACCUCAGCGCUCAGAUCCGCAACUCUCAGCUGCUUCUCUCCACUGCUGCUGCUUCCAGACGCCCCUUGACGGUUCUCGACUCUGAGCCCACUAUCCGCGACAUGGCUGUCUUGCUUUUCCAAGCUCAGCAGCU
rnacentral:lncRNA from 1 species